GCAGUCUUCACUUUUCACUUCUUCAGAGCUCAGUCGCGGCUUCAGUGCUUCAGGCCUUCACUCUUCCCUCUUCGCGAUGCAAACCAGAAGGAGAUGCGGAGAGCCGGAGACCUCCAGUCUAGUCGGCGACCACGGGCGGCCAGCGCCUUCGCGGUAGAUCCGUAGAUCUGGGCGCCUUCAAGGGAAGAUCCGUAGAUCUGGAGUGACCUUUUCGCUGGUCUGCAGUUCAGAGACGCGGAGAGCCGGAGAGCAGCGAAGUUCCGACGGCAAGGCAGCACUGCAGCUCCGGUGCUUCUCGCGGCGGCAGCAGCUGUUUGCGUUUAUUUGGAUGGAAAUUUUAAUGAUAUUUGUUUGCGUUGGUGGCUUGUUUGUAGCUGCAAAGGGUCAUGAUCCUCAGGCUACAUUUGAAGAUGGCACAAAAGUAUAAAUGCAGCAGAUCUGCAUACUCUUCCAAGAGUCCUUCCAAUACCUUAAGCUCCUAUUUCGUGAUGACCUCGCAGUUAACGAAUCAUUUGAUGCAAAAAUGUUACAACUGCUAUUCCUGAUAAGCUUAUUGUUGAUGAAUCUGAUGAUGCGGCAGCAGAUAUUACACAUCUACAACGAUUCUUGCUUGAAAAACAUAUACUACUAUAAAUGUAUUAAUUAUUAUUUUUAACUUGAAGAAAAAUAAAAUUAUGUUGAAAUUCAUUUA